CUUUCCUUGGGUGGCUAUUACAGGUCUGUUACAAGUUGUGGACUUACUUAGUGGCCACUGGUACAUGUCACGAAGAGGCUGCAUUCAUUCUGGGGAAAUCAGUGCCCAUUUUGACAGGAGAGAGCCCAGUGAUAUGGAGUGUGUAAGAAACGAGCCACUUUCAAGCUCGCAGCCUAGAGAGAGCAGUGUGCUAAGACUCCGAACUGCAUUCGUGCCUGCAGCCUGCCGAGGCCUUUGGGGAAACUUGAGAUUCUGGCGGGAGGCCAUGAAGAUCUACUCAACUGGCAGCCACCUAAAACAAGCCUUCGAUCCAGCCUAGUCUUGGAAUUAUUGAAGUGCUUUCUGAAGAGAUGGGUCCACGUUUGUAACAAGAGCAUUGGAGAACACCCUAGAUAUGGAAUCCAGUGGCAGGUGGGAAACUCAAGAC
rnacentral:lncRNA from 1 species